CUACGUGCCAGCAGCCGCGGUAAUACGUAGGUGGCGAGCGUUGUCCGGAAUCAUUGGGCGUAAAGGGAGCGCAGGCGGGCCGGUAAGUCUUACUUAAAAGUGCGGGGCUUAACCCCGUGAUGGGAUGGAAACUGGGAAGCUCAGAGUAUCGGAGAGGAAAGCGGAAUUCCUAGUGUAGCGGUGAAAUGCGUAGAUAUUAGGAGGAACACCAGUGGCGAAGGCGGCCUUCUGGGCCAUAACUGACGCUGAGGAGCGAAAGCUAGGGGAGCAAACAGGAUUAGAUACCCUGGUAGUCCUAGCCGUAAACGAUGGACACUAGGUGUGGGGGAAUAUUUCUUCCGUGCCGCAGCUAACGCAUUAAGUGUCCCGCCUGGGGAGUACGGCCGCAAGGCUAAAACUCAAAGGAAUUGACGGGGGCCCGCACAAGCAGCGGAGCAUGUGGUUUAAUUCGAAGCAACGCGAAGAACCUUACCAGGGCU
rnacentral:rRNA from 1 species